rnacentral:rRNA from 1 species
UACGUAGGGUGCGAGCGUUAAUCGGAAUUACUGGGCGUAAAGCGUGCGCAGGCGGUUUUGUAAGCCAGAUGUGAAAUCCCCGGGCUUAACCUGGGAAUGGCAUUUGGGACUGCAAGGCUGGAGUGCGGCAGAGGAGAAUGGAAUUCCUGGUGUAGCAGUGAAAUGCGCAGAUAUCAGGAGGAACACCUAUUGCGAAGGCAGCUCGCUGGGACGUAACUGACGCUGAGACGCGAAAGCGUGGGGAGCAAACAGG